rnacentral:rRNA from 1 species
AGUGAACGCUGGCGGUAGGCCUAACACAUGCAAGUCGAACGGCAGCACAGUAAGAGCUUGCUCUUACGGGUGGCGAGUGGCGGACGGGUGAGGAAUACAUCGUACUCUACUUUUUCGGGGGGGAUAACGUAGGGAAACUUACGCUAAUACCGCAUACGACCUACGGGGGAGAGCAGGGGAUCUUCGGACCUUGCGCGAUUGAAUGAGCCGAUGUCGGAUUAGCUAGUUGGCGGGGUAAAGGCCCACCAAGGGGACGAUCCGUAGCUGGUCUGAGAGGAUGGUCAGCCACACGGGAACUGGGACACGGUCCAGACUCCUACGGGAGGCAGCAGUCGGGAAUAUUGGACAAUGGGCGCAAGCAUGAUCCAGCCAUACCGCGUGGGUGAAGAAGGCGCUCGGGUUGUAAAGCCCUUUUGUUGGGAAAGAACAGCAGCAGGUUAAUACCACGCUGUUCUGACGGUACCCAAAGAAUAAGCACCGGCUAACUUCGUG